AACUGCGUCGAGUUCGGUAACGGAAACGUCCGACGGCUUUACAUAUGGGGCCGAGCAACUCGUAACGCAGUUUU
rnacentral:sRNA from 12 species